CGAGUCGAGUAGUUUGGGAAUGCUGCUCAAAAUGGGAGGUAUAUGUCUUCUAAAGCUAAAUACCGGCCAGAGACCGAUAGCGCACAAGUAGAGUGAUCGAAAGAUGAAAAGCACUUUGAAAAGAGGGUUAAAUAGUACGUGAAAUUGUUGAGAGGGAAGCGCUUCUGACCAGACUUGGGCUCGGUGAAUCAUCCAGCGUUCUCGCUGGUGCACUUCGCCGGUCCAGGCCAACAUCAGUUCGUCGCGGGGGAUAAAGGCUUCGGGAAAGUGGCCCCCUCGGGGGUGUUAUAGACCGUUGCGCAAUACCCUGCGAUGGACUGAGGUUCGCGCUCCGCUAGGAUGUUGGCGUAAUGGUCAUCAGCGACCCGUCUUGAAACACGGACCAAGGAGUCGUCUUCGUAUGCGAGUGUUCGGGUGUCAAACCCCUACGCGAAAUGAAAGUGAACGGAGGGGAGAGCUUCGGCGCAUCCUCGACCGAUCCUGAUGUUCUCGGAUGGAUUUGAGUAAGAGCAUACGGGGCCGGACCCGAAAGAAGGUGAACUAUGCCUGUAUAGGGUGAAGCCAGAGGAAACUCUGGUGGAGGCUCGCAGCGGUUCUGACGUGCAAAUCGAUCGUCAAAUAUGGGCAUGGGGGCGAAAGACUAAUCGAACCUUCUAGUAGCUGGUUUCCGCCGAAGUUUCCCUCAGGAUAGCAGUGUUGAGCUCAGUUUUAUGAGGUAAAGCGAAUGAUUAGGGACCCGGGGGCGCUAUUUAGCCUUCAUCCAUUCUCAAACUUUAAAUAUGUAAGAAGCCCUUGUUACUUAGGUGAACGUGGGCAUUCGAAUGUAUCAACACUAGUGGGCCAUUUUUGGUAAGCAGAACUGGCGAUGCGGGAUGAACCGAACGCGAGGUUAAGGUGCCAGAGUAGACGCUCAUCAGACACCACAAAAGGCGUUAGUACAUCUUGACAGCAGGACGGUGGCCAUGGA
rnacentral:rRNA from 1 species